rnacentral:rRNA from 1 species
GACGAACGCUGGCGGCGUGCUUAACACAUGCAAGUCGAACGGAAAGGCCCUGCUUUCGUGGUGUGCUCGAGUGGCGAACGGGUGAGUAACACGUGAGUAACCUGCCCUUGACUUUGGGAUAACUUCAGGAAACUGGGGCUAAUACCGGAUAGGAGCUCCUGCUGCAUGGUGGGGGGUGGAAAGUUUCGGCGGUUGGGGAUGGACUCGCGGCUUAUCAGCUUGUGGGUGGGGUAGUGGCUUACCAAGGCUUUGACGGGUAGCCGGCCUGAGAGGGUGACCGGCCACAGUGGGACUGGGAUGCGGCCCAGACUCAUACGGGAGGCAGCAGUGGGGAAUAUUGGACAAUGGGCGGAAGCCUGAUGCAGCAACGCCGCGUGCGGGAUGUCGGCCUUCGGGUUGGAAACCGCUUUCGCCUAUGACGAAGCGUGAGUGACGGUAAUGGGUAAAGAAGCACCGGCUAACUACGUG